GACGAACGCUGGCGGCGUGCUUAACACAUGCAAGUCGAACGGUAAGGCCCUUCGGGGUACACGAGUGGCGAACGGGUGAGUAACACGUGGGUGAUCUGCCCUGCACUUCGGGAUAAGCCUGGGAAACUGGGUCUAAUACCGGAUAGGACCCUGGGAUGCAUGUCCUGGGGUGGAAAGCUUUUGCGGUGUGGGAUGGGCCCGCGGCCUAUCAGCUUGUUGGUGGGGUGAGGGGCUACCAAGGCGAGGACGGGUAGCCGGCCUGGGAGGGGGACCGGGCACACUGGGACUGAGAUACGGCCCAGACUCCUACGGGAGGCAGCAGUGGGGAAUAUUGCACAAUGGGAGCAAGCCUGAUGCAGCGACGCCGCGUAAGGGAUGACGGCCUUCGGGUUGUAAACCUCUUUCAGCACCGACGAAGCGCAAGUGACGGUAGGUGCAGAAGAAGGACCGGCCAACUACGUGCCAGCAGCCGCCGCAG
rnacentral:rRNA from 1 species